AAGCAAGGAUAAACGGCUAAGUUCGCGCCGUCCUGACGCAACGCCGUUCAGACCAACAUCCUGUUGG
rnacentral:sRNA from 1 species